UCUACAUCCACACAUGCUCUUUAAGUUUUUGCUGACAGACAUUAGCCAGUUGGAAAUGAUUUUGGUGUGUGAGUCUUUGCCUCCCAGCAACUGGUGCCCAGGCUCAACUGAGAUCUUACUCUCACUAAACAGGAUCCUGUCUUCCACCAAGACUUACACAAUUGUGAAUUCCCCAAAUGAAGAGGGUUGAGAUGUGCAAGAAAAAAAGAGUUCUCCCCAGACCUGUGGACAAUGACAGCCUUCUAGAAACUGGGUUUCUCUACAGCUUCUGGUGUCAGUGUGUGACUGAAGGCAGGGACAUUAAAAUCACUGAGGUUUGCAGCCAAAACAUCCUUCAGACUCGCCUAGAACAGAGGGACUCAAAAGAAUUGGUUGUUCAGCAGACCCGCUGGAGAUAAAAGUAGUGACCAGAAGACAGG
rnacentral:lncRNA from 10 species